AUUAUUUUCGAAAGAACUUGCGGCAAGAUCGAACUCGCUCCUACAGCUUUAACUGUAAUUUGCCCUUAUCUAUAGUCUCCCAUUCUCUCCCCUGCCCAAAGCGAUCCGAGUGUACAGCAAGGCUCAGAACUUUAUUGCCGAUCUUCUACGUAUUCGCUUCCACUGACCCGUAAAGAGUCCUUGACGUAGAAACGCCGCCAGCUGUCUCGCUCCCUCUCUCACCCCUGAGGCACUCUGUCGAAUACACGACCGAAGCUCCAGAACCUUUACAAUUUCUUUCCCUUUAUUUGUCUUCUUUUCGGUUCAACGAGGCGUUCGGUCAUGGACGUUGAUCCCCGCCACUACGAACACGUUGCUAUCAAUGACAACGACAUCCGCAAUGUUGUUCUAUCAUAUCUUGUCCAUAAUUGUUUCAAUGAAACUGUGGAGUCAUUCAUCACUAGCACGGGGAUGAAGCAGCCUGCUGAUUAUCUUGAGGGCAUGGAGAAAAGAAAAAGAAUUUUUCAUUUUGCCCUGGAGGGAAAUGCACUUAAGGCCAUUGAGCUGACAAAUCAGCUGGCACACGACUUGCUGGAGAAAAAGGAGGACUUGCAUUUUGAUCUAUUAAGCAUUCAUUUUGGUGAACUUGUACGCUCUAGAAAAUGCACAGAAGCUUUGGAGUUUGCUAUGACCAAGUUGGCCCCUUUUGGGAAGGUGCAAAAAUACAUUGAGAAACUUGAAGACUUUAUGGCGCUGCUAGCUUAUGAAGAGCCAGAUAAAUCCCCAACGUUUCAUCUGCUUAGCUUAGACUACAGGCAGCAAGUCGCAGAUAGCUUGAAUCGGGCAAUUCUUGCACAUAUGAACCUGCCCAGCUACACAGCAAUGGAAAGGCUGAUACAACAGACAACAGUCGUUAGACAAUGCUUAAGUCAGGAGCUUGGCAAGUUGUUGCUGUUAGUAGAUUCCCUAAUAUUGAAUCGGUUUGUUGUUCUCAAACUGGGGCAAGAGGCUCGAAUUUCAGAAAAAUCAUUUAGUCAUUAUCACACAAUUAAGUAGCAGCCAGGGCUGUCUGACUUCCCAAAAAUAAAAAAAGAAAUAAUAGCCAGGACGACAUUUGAGGAUGGGCUUCCGCCAUUUUCCUUGGAGGAUUUCCUCAAAAGCUGAAUGGACGAGUGUUUGAAGCAUUGCUGGUGAUGGGUAAUCGCUUAUUCAGCUUGAGUUUUUGGAUUUGGUGUAAGGUUUGCUGAUGGGUAAAAAAGUCUUCACCGCUUGCUCUUCUGUGAAGACGGUGAGUGGGCUGUCUCGUGUAUGCGUUCUCCUGCUUUUAGUGAGGCAUGACCCUCGUCCUGAGUGCCCAUUGUGAAAACCAUGAUUGCCUUCAACUUCGUGCGAAUUUGUCUGUCUUCUCUAUUUAUAUUGUUGAUCCACGUUUGUGGCAUGCACAUGCUACCUUGCAUAUAUUCAGACGUUAGGGAAUUCCGAUUAUCUUGUAAUGUCAUAUACGUUGAGCAUUUCCGCCUAUUUCAGUUAUUUGGCUUAAUGCCAGGUUGCAAUUUGCAACGCAUAAUGAACGUUUGGUGAUGAAGCACAAAUGAUAAA